rnacentral:rRNA from 1 species
CCCUUAGAUGUUCUGGGCCGCACGCGCGCUACACUGAUGCAUUCAACGAGCCUAUCCUUGACAGACAGGUCCGGGUAAUCUUUGAAUCUGCAUCGUGACGGGGAUAGAUUAUUGCAAUUAUUAAUCUUCAACGAGGAAUGCCUAGUAGGCGCAAGUCAUCAGCUUGCGUCGAUUACGUCCCUGCCCUUUGUACACACCGCCCGUCGCUCCUACCGAUUGGGUGUGCUGGUGAAAUGUUCGGAUCGGCCGUUUGUCGCGGUUUCCGCGUCAUGUGGCUGAGAAGUUCAUUAAACCCUCCCACCUAGAGGAAGGAGAAGUCGUAACA